rnacentral:lncRNA from 10 species
GGGACAACUUGAGAAAGUCAGGCAAAGUAAGUUGCCAUUGACAGAUGGUGUUCAGCUGAUAGAAAGAAUGAAUGGAGAAGCUGACAGAGAAAGAUGCCAAAGAUCGGUAUAGCUUUCCAUUUGGUAUAGCAGAAGAUGUAUCAAAUCAAAGCCAUUUAUAUACAUUUACGUAAAAAUCCCACUUCUAGGAAUUUAGUUAAAGGAAUUAUAAAGGUGAUUUUAAAAACUUGCAGCGCAAAGCUAUUGGUUGCUGCAUUCAAUCUAGAGUAGAGAAAAAUUAGAAUAACCCAAAUGAUCAACAAUUUUAAAAAUUGAGUAAAUUAUUAUAACAUCCACUCAAAGAAAUGUUAUGCACCCAUUAAAAGUUAUCAUUAUGAGAACUAUAGAAACAAGGAAUAUGUUAUAUUUUUAAGUGAAAGUCAUAAAAUGUAUACAUGUGGACAUAUUAUACAAAAAUGUAUAUUUUGCAGAUAAAACUCUGGGAGUGCCUGCUCUUAACAAAAUAAAGUUCUUUAUUGCAUUUGUCA